GACGAACCGUCCUAACGUUGUUCGGAAUACUGGGCUUAAAGGGCGCGUAGGCGGGUUCCCAAGUCGGUGGUGAAAUCUUUCGGCCCAACCGGAAAACAGCCGCCGAUACUGGGAGUCUUGAGGGAGGUAGGGGUCGAUGGAACUCCGGUGGAGCGGUGAAAUGCGUAGAUAUCGGAAGGAACGCCGGUGGCGAAAGCGAUCGACUGGACCUUUUCUGACGCUGAGGCGCGAAAGCCAGGGGAGCAAACGGG
rnacentral:rRNA from 1 species